UACGUAGGGGGCAAGCGUUGUCCGGAAUCAUUGGGCGUAAAGAGUGCGUAGGCGGCCCAGUAAGUCCGCUCUGAAAGUCAGGGGCUCAACCCCUGAAUGCGGGUGGAUACUGCUGGGCUAGAGUCCGGAAGAGGUGGGUGGAAUUCCUGGUGUAGCGGUGAAAUGCGCAGAUAUCAGGAGGAACACCGGUGGCGAAGGCGGAUCUCUGGGCCGAUACUGACGCUGAGGGGCGAAAGCGUGGGGAGCGAACAGG
rnacentral:rRNA from 1 species